rnacentral:rRNA from 1 species
UACGUAGGUGACCAGCGUUGUCCGGAUUUACUGGGCGUAAAGAGCGCGCAGGCGGUCGUUCAAGUCGAGUGUGAAAGCCCCCGGCUCAACUGGGGAGGGUCAUUCGAUACUGAUCGACUCGAAGGCAGGAGAGGGAAGCGGAAUUCCCGGUGUAGCGGUGAAAUGCGUAGAGAUCGGGAGGAACAUCAGUGGCGAAGGCGGCCAUCUGGGACAACACUGACGCUGAAGCACGAAAGCGUGGGGAGCAAACAGG